GCUUCCGUAGCGCAGUCGGUAGCGCAACUGAUUCGUAAUCAGUAGGUCAGGGGUUCAAGUCCCCUCGGGAGCU
rnacentral:tRNA from 1 species